UACGUAGGGGGCAAGCGUUGUCCGGAUUUAUUGGGCGUAAAGAGCGUGUAGGCGGCCAGGUAGGUCUGCUGUGAAAACUCGAGGCUUAACUCCGAAACUGCAUUCGAUACUGCCGUGCUUGAGGACUGGAGAGGAGACUGGAAUUUACGGUGUAGCGGUGAAAUGCGUAGAUAUCGUAAGGAAGACCAGUGGCGAAGGCGGGUCUCUGGACAGUUCCUGACGCUGAGGCACGAAGGUCAGGGGAGCAAACGGG
rnacentral:rRNA from 1 species